rnacentral:rRNA from 1 species
UACGGGGGGUGCAAGCGUUGUUCGGAUUUACUGGGCGUAAAGGGCGCGUAGGCGGUCGUGACAAGUCACUUGUGAAAUCUCCGGGCUUAACUCGGAACGGUCAAGUGAUACUGUCGGACUAGAGUACAGAAGGGGCAACUGGAAUUCUCGGUGUAGCGGUGAAAUGCGUAGAUAUCAGGAGGAAUACCGAUGGCGAAGGCAGGUCUCUGGGCUGACACUGACGCUCAUGCACGAAAGCGUGGGGAGCAAACAGG